rnacentral:rRNA from 1 species
AGUCGGANCUGCCCGGUGAGGUUUAUCCUUUAACGGCCGCGGUACUCUGACCGUGCAAAGGUAGCAUAAUCAUUUGCCUUAUAAUUGAAGGCUAGUAUGAAUGGUUUGACAAGAAUAUAGCUGUCUCUCUGCUGAUUUGAUAGAAUUUUAUUUUUAGGUGAAAAAGCCUAGAUGUGAUUAAAAGACAAGAAGACCCUAUCGAGCUUUAGAGAAUUCAAUGGAUGAUUUAAUAAGAAACCUGUAAGUUAUAUUAUAAGGUGGUGCCGUUGAGUACUUUGGUUGGGGCGACUGAGGAACAAAAAAAGCUUCCUUCAAAUAGAUUUUAUACAUACAGGUACUGAUCCAAAUUUAUUGAUUAAGGAAAUUAGUUACCGUAGGGAUAACAGCAUUAUCUUUCUUGAGAGUUCAUAUCGAAAGGAGGGUUUGUGACCUCGAUGUUGGACCAAAAUGUCCUAAAGAUGCAGAAGUCUUUAAGGGUUGGUCUGUUCGACCAUUAAAAUUCUA